ACAGGGAAGCUCUUCGGGAUUCCAGACAUAUGGGGCCUCCCACUCCAUUACCAGCAUCAUGGGCAGGGAGAUGAAGGAAAUUGGGUAGUUAGUUGCGAAGGCUAAAUCAGAACCUCAAGCAGUCAUUUUCCUUGAUAGUGUUUAAGGCUGGUCUUUGGAAAAGCCUUGAUAAAAUAUGAAAGACUUCUCAAUAAUGGAAUAAAAUGUCUCAGUAAUCAGCCCACAUGAGAGAUGUUUCAGAGGGACUCCUACAGAGAAAGUCACUGGCUCUUGAUCUCAUCAAGCUGCUUUCUUCGUUAUUGGAAAAGCCAGGGGAAGAUGAGUAAAUGACACCCUCAAGAUUUUUAGGAACACUGGAAACUAGAUACAGACUAACACGGCUACCACUCUGAAACCUGUGGAUAUUUGCGGUCAUGUGUUUACUCACAGAUGCCCUCCACAAAUGGACCUUUGAAAUGAAGUCUAACUCCAUCAUAAUUGUCUUGAAAUGCAGCUGCAGUGAUCAGUACCUGGCAGAUAUGAAGUUCUUCAUUCCAAGUGGAGUAGCAUCUCCCUGGAGACAGAUUAGAUGAAGAAGAGGAAGAGAAGAUAAAUUGUCACUAACUAAUGCUGGAAGGAGUCUCUGGCUCUCCAUAUUACAGUGAAGAGGACUCUAUGCAGUAGCAGCGUCUCCUAACAUGACUG